rnacentral:rRNA from 1 species
AGCAGUAGCCGCGGGAAUACGAAGGGUGCAAGCGUUAAUCGGAAUUACUGGGCGUAAAGCGUGCGUAGGUGGUGGUUUAAGUCUGUUGUGAAAGCCCUGGGCUCAACCUGGGAAUUGCAGUGGAAACUGGAUCACUAGAGUGUGGUAGAGGAUAGUGGAAUUUCCGGUGUAGCAGCGAAAUGCGUAGAGAUCGGAAGGAACAUCUGUGGCGAAGGCGACUAUCUGGGCCAACACUGACACUGAGGCACGAAAGCGUGGGGAGCAAACAGGAUUAGAUACCCCCGUAGUCCCUGUCUCUUAUAC